rnacentral:rRNA from 1 species
UACGUAGGGGGCAAGCGUUGUCCGGAAUCAUUGGGCGUAAAGCGCGUGUAGGCGGCUCGAUAAGUCUGCUGUGAAAGUCCAGGGCUCAACCCUGGGAUGCCGGUGGAUACUGUCGAGCUCGAGUCCGGAAGAGGCGAGUGGAAUUCCUGGUGUAGCGGUGAAAUGCGCAGAUAUCGGGAGGAACACCAACGGCGAAGGCAGCACUCUGGGCUGGAACUGACGCUGAGGAGCGAAAGCGUGGGUAGCAAACAGG